GUCGACUCGUAGUGCAGUGGUAGCAUGUGUUGUGCCUGAUGAGAGGGCGCGGGUUCGAUCCCCUCCUCGGCC
rnacentral:tRNA from 1 species